UGGUGUGAAUUGCAGAAUCCCGUGAACCAUCGAGUCUUUGAACGCAAGUUGCGCCCCAAGCCGUCAGGCCGAGGGCACGCCUGCCUGGGCGUCACGCAACGUCGCCCCCUCCCCAAUCGGGUGCAGAGGGCGGAUACUGGCCUCCCGUGCGUGCAUUGCUCGCGGCUG
rnacentral:rRNA from 1 species